GACAGAGGAUGCAAGCGGAAUGAUUGGGCGUAAAGCGUCUGUAGGUGGCUUUUCAAGUCCGCCGUCAAAUCCCAGGGCUCAACCCUGGACAGGCGGUGGAAACUACCAAGCUGGAGUACGGUAGGGGCAGAGGGAAUUUCCGGUGGAGCGGUGAAAUGCGUAGAUAUCAUCUGGAACGCCAAUGGUGCAGACAGGCUGCUGGGAAUGAACUGACGCUGAGGCACGAAAGCCAGGGGAGCGAACGGG
rnacentral:rRNA from 1 species